rnacentral:rRNA from 1 species
UACGUAGGGCGCAAGCGUUAUCCGGAAUUAUUGGGCGUAAAGAGCUCGUAGGCGGUUUGUCGCGUCGGGUGUGAAAACCUUGGGCUUAACUCAGGGCUUGCUUUCGAUACGGGCAGAUUGGAGUACUGCAGGGGAGACUGGAAUUCCUGGUGUAGCGGUGGAAUGCGCAGAUAUCGGGAGGAACACCAGUGGCGAGGGCGAGUCUCUGGGAUGAUGCUGACGCUGAGGCGCGAAAGCCAGGGGAGCAAACGGG